GUUGUUUUGUUAUUAAUCUAUGCUGAGCCUCAAUUUAUUCACUUAGCAAAGGUUAUCUAUCAUCUUAUAGAGACCGUACCAUAGCUCUUUGCAUACUUUGAUUUUCAAACUAAAGUGAUGUUUACAAGUGCACCGGUUACGAUAAAAAUGUAAACAACGGACUCUGUCUAUGAAACUUUGAAAUGAAUGAAUGACAGUCGAUCUUAGUCAUAAUACUGAUUGACAGUGAAUGCUAAUGACUCCAUGUGUUGCAGAAAGCAUCUCGGCUGUCUGUCACAACUACUACUGGGCCAACACAGACUGUAACUGACGAACACAGUUCUGUUGAAUAUGACACAUCAUCUAGUGCAUUCUCCAAAGCUGAAAGUAAGAGUCCUGGUACACCUGUUUUGUUUAAACCUACCAACACAGACAUUAGAGCUGAACAGUCACAAGAUUUAAGUAUGAACCAAGUGGAGAUGUACUGGACCUAGCCAAACCCUUGUCAUUGUUGAGAAGUGUUCACCAAUUACUUCAGGAACGAGCCAAUGAGCAUUUUCAACGGUUUAUACAGUCACAGAGAUAUGCAAAUGAGGCGAGAAAUUUGGAAGAAUCGAUAGCUGCUUUAAAGGGGCAAAUAGAAAAAAGAUAACAGAAAUUGUUCUCUCAGAAAACAGCUGCAUGACUUUACUUU